ACUCCUACGGGAGCAGCAGUGGGGAAUAUUGGACAAUGGGCGAAAGCCUGAUCCAGCCAUGCCGCGUGCAGGAUGACGGUCCUAUGGAUUGUAAACUGCUUUUACACGAGAAGAAACACCUCUACGUGUAGAGACUUGACGGUAUCGUAAGAAUAAGGAUCGGCUAACUCCGUGCCAGCAGCCGCGGUAAU
rnacentral:rRNA from 1 species